UACGUAGGGUGCAAGCGUUGUCCGGAAUUAUUGGGCGUAAAGAGCUCGUAGGCGGUUCGUCACGUCGGCUGUGAAAACCUGAGGCUCAACCUCAGGCCUGCAGUCGAUACGGGCGGACUUGAGUACUGCAGGGGAGACUGGAAUUCCUGGUGUAGCGGUGAAAUGCGCAGAUAUCAGGAGGAACACCGGUGGCGAAGGCGGGUCUCUGGGCAGUAACUG
rnacentral:rRNA from 1 species